rnacentral:rRNA from 1 species
CCCUUAGAUGUUCUGGGCUGCACGCGCGCUACACUGACACCCCCAGCGAGUCUCCUGCCCUGACAGGGUUGGGUAAUCAUUGGAGUGUGUGUCGUGAUGGGGAUAGAGUAUUGCAAUUAUUGCUCUCGAACGAGGAAUUCCUAGUAAGCACAAGUCAGCAGCUUGUGCUGAUUACGUCCCUGCCCUUUGUACACACCGCCCGUCGCUCCUACCGAGGGGGUGAUCCGGUGAAUGAUUCGGACUUUGGCGUUUCUAGCUGCUAGCAGCGCUGAAGAAAGUUUUGUGAACCUUAUCACUUGGAGGAAGGAGAAGUCGUAACA